rnacentral:misc_RNA from 1 species
UAGUAUUUUGGCGACACACGGCUGAGCAAAAUGGGACAGGCUCCUAAGGAAUUGGUAACCAUUUUAGAAGCUAAAUUACAUUGGUCCUAGAAAACUACGUCAAACAGAGAGGCUAUACACAAAUAAAAUCAAACUCGACACAUCUGAGAUAUCCAGCCGCAAUGUUUUCGCUAACCUCCUCGACGUAAAAGAGAAGGCAUUAG